GCGCUCCCUUAGGUAGCACACACACUAAAAUGUGAAAAUACAGAGAUUAGCAUGGUCCCUGUGCAAGGACAACAGGCAAAUUCAUGAAGCAUUCAAAGAAAAA